CCAGACUGGUUUCUUGGAAUAUUGCACCAUCUCUCUCUUGAACAAUCUAAUGCAUAUGCAGAGCAAUAAAUAUGCCCUGAGAGGUCGUUGAGGCUUUGAAAGAUAAAAAGAAAUUAAGCCACGAUGAUCACUUAAUUUCCCACAGGAAACUACUCUACCAAUCCCUCAAGAUGACUUCUCCAUCUAUGUCGAAUAAACUCUCUACACGCCACCUAAUUUUGCAGGCGAGGGGAGGGGCGCCCGGGUCGUCAAUAAUUCAAGCAUUGAAUGAGGAGAAGUUAAUGAGAUUGGUUGAGGAACUAAAAGAGGAGACGCAAGAACAGUGAUGAGUGAAAUCAUGUAUAAAAUAAAGGGGAUCACACGAAAUAUGUGUAGCAAAUAUCAGUCUCCGCCCUAAAAAGAAGCAUGCAUGGCUUGUUGUAUAUUUUGAUAAGACGAUCAUCG
rnacentral:lncRNA from 1 species